rnacentral:rRNA from 1 species
CCUACGGGUGGCAGCAGUGGGGAAUAUUGGGCAAUGGGCGCAAGCCUUACCCAGCAAUACCGCGUGAGUGAAGAAGGUCUUCGGAUUGUAAAGCUCUUUGAUCAGGGACGAACAGAUGACGGUACCUGAAGAACAAGCCCCGGCUAACUACGUGCCAGCAGCCGCGGUAAAACGUAGGGGGCGAGCGUUGUCCGGAAUGACUGGGCGUAAAGGGUGCGUAGGCGGCAUAAUAAGUUAGAAGUGAAAUACCCAGAGCUUAACUCGGGUGCUGCUUCUAAGACUGUUGAGCUUGAGUGCGGGAGAGGUUAAUGGAAUUCCUAGUGUAGCGGUGGAAUGCGUAGAUAUUAGGAGGAACACCAGAGGCGAAGGCGAUUAACUGGACCGUAACUGACGCUGAGGCACGAAAGUGUGGGUAGCAAACAGGAUUAGAUACCCUUGUAGUC